rnacentral:rRNA from 1 species
GACGAACGCUGGCGGCGUGCUUAACACAUGCAAGUCGAACGGAAAGGCCCUGCUUUUGUGGGGUGCUCGAGUGGCGAACGGGUGAGUAACACGUGAGUAACCUGCCCUUGACUUUGGGAUAACUUCAGGAAACUGGGGCUAAUACCGGAUAGGAGCUCCUGCUGCAUGGUGGGGGUUGGAAAGUUUCGGCGGUUGGGGAUGGACUCGCGGCUUAUCAGCUUGUUGGUGGGGUAGUGGCUUACCAAGGCUUUGACGGGUAGCCGGCCUGAGAGGGUGACCGGGCACCAUGGGACUGAGAGACGGCCCAGACUCGUACGGGAGGCAGCAGUGGGGAAUAUUGCACAAUGGGCGGAAGCCUGAUGCAGCAACGCCGCGUGCGGGAUGACGGCCUUCGGGUUGUAAACCGCUUUCGCCUGUGACGAAGCGUGAGUGACGGUAAUGGGUAAAGAAGCACCGGCUAACUACGUG